rnacentral:SRP_RNA from 2 species
UGGAAGGCUAGGCUGGGAGGUUAGCGCUCUCCUGUUACCGUAAACGCGCUUUAGGCGGAGCCGAAGUCAGAGAAAAGGUAUUUGCUUUGAGUGUUGGUCUUGUGCUGGACAGUGAGACUCUGUCCUUCGGGACUGAUGUUUUUGCGAAAUAGGUCAGGUCAGGAAUGAAGCAGCCUUAAGUUUUAACAUUGGUGCUCUUAGGGUAGCGGAGUUGAGGAAAGCUCAAGGUUAGCUGGCAUUUAUUGCCUGUAUCGAUUCUUUGAUGCGCCUUCCA